ACGAACGCUGGCGGCGUGCCUAAUACCUGCAAGUAGCACGCUGAAGGAGGAGCUUGCUUCUCUGGAUGAGUUGCGAACGGGUGAGUAACGCGUAGGUAACCUGCCUGGUAGCGGGGGAUAACUAUUGGAAACGAUAGCUAAUACCGCAUAAGAGUAGAUGUUGCAUGACAUUUGCUUAAAAGGUGCAAUUGCAUCACUACCAGAUGGACCUGCGUUGUAUUAGCUAGUUGGUGGGGUAACGGCUCACCAAGGCGACGAUACAUAGCCGACCUGAGAGGGUGAUCGGCCACACUGGGACUGAGACACGGCCCAGACUCCUACGGGAGGCAGCAGUAGGGAAUCUUCGGCAAUGGACGGAAGUCUGACCGAGCAACGCCGCGUGAGUGAAGAAGGUUUUCGGAUCGUAAAGCUCUGUUGUAAGAGAAGAACGAGUGUGAGAGUGGAAAGUUCACACUGUGACGGUAUCUUACCAGAAAGGGACGGCUAACUACGUG
rnacentral:rRNA from 1 species